rnacentral:snRNA from 1 species
CAGACUUUUUUGGUUGACAGACU